rnacentral:rRNA from 1 species
GACGAACGCUGGCGGCGUGCCUAAUACAUGCAAGUAGGACGCAGCUGCGAACGGGAGAGUAACGCGUAGGUAACUACCUAUUAGAGGGGGAUAACUAUUGGAAACGAUAGCUAAUACCGCAUACUAGUAGAUGGACCUGCGUUGUAUUAGCUAGUAGGUAGGGUAAUGGCCUACCUAGGCAACGAUACAUAGCCGACCUGAAAGGUUGAGCGGCCGCACUGGGACUGAGACACGGCCCAGACUCCUGCGGGAGGCAGCCGUAGGGAAUCUUCGGUAAGGGGGGGAACCCUGACCGAGCAACGCCGCGUGAGUGCAGAAGGUUUUCGGAUCGUAAAGCUCUGUUGUUAAGGCAGCGGUACUUCACCAGAAAGGGACGGCUAACUACGUGCCAGCCGCCGGGGUAAUUC